CACGGCUAGAAUAAAGCAGGCAGAAGAAUUUGGAAGGACUUCAUUUGAUGAGUCUUCUGGCCCUCAUCUUUCUCCAGUGGUGGAUGCUUCCUCUCCUCAAACAUUGGACUCCAAGUUCUUCAGCUUUUGUACUCUUGGACUUAUACCUUGGACUUGGACUUACAUCUUGAACUUGGUUUACCAGGGGCUGAAGGCUGCGCUGUCGGCUUCCCUACUUCUGAGGUUUUGGGACUUGAACUGGCUUCCUUGUGCUUCAGCUUGCAGAUGGCCUAUGAUGGGACUUCAUUUUGUGAUCAUCAAAAUGGCUGGCACAAAGUCAAUGAUGCAAACCAAAUGUGGAGUGUGCAGAGCAGAGAUUGAUCUUGGGCAGCACUGAGUCCUGCAAGCUGUGAACAAUCAAUCAUUUCAUUCAAAGGAAGAGUGAAAUGAGACUUGAUAGUAAUGCUGUGCGCAUACAUACAGCGUUGGACAUCUAGCUUGAAGAAUGACUCAGAAUAUAAUAUUAAGAUACCAGAGGGCAAAGUCAAGAGCCGUGGACAUUUGUUCCCAGAAAGUGGGUCUGAACUCCUUUCAAGGAAUGCUAUGAACCAGUGACUGCUGUGUAAUUCUGACACACUUGAAAGAAGUUUGACUACCUCAAGGCCAUUAUGCCCAUAAGACCUUAUCCAGAUGCUCUGCCAGAACCAGCUGAGGCCAGCCUCCCCUUCCCCCAUUAAAGACUAUGAUAUGUAAGUGAAGAUAUCUUGGAACCAACCAACCGCCCCUUCCACCAUCUGAAUAACAUCAAAUAUCCUCAGUCAAGCUAAUACAGAAAAAAAUGAAUCAGCAAGCUUACCUCUGCUGGAAUUUCUGACCACAAAACAAUGAGAUAGAGCAAAAUGAGUACUGUCUUAAGCCACUGAGUUUUGGGAGAGUUUCUUAUCCAGCAAUAGAUAACUAGAGCAAUAGGCAUUAGGUUAUUCUAAAUUUUUGGCAGACUAUUUGGUGAAUAUUUUUGUAUAUCUCCAGAUAUGUUUCCGCAAUAGUUUUUCAAUACCACUUUGGUACUGUUUCAAGCUUUCAUCUAUCUAUACCUCUCCACAGAGUAUAUUUUUCAUAGUUUUAAAUACAUCUAUAAGACAGUAACUCACAAAUAUUAUCUUCACUCAUAAUCUCUCCUCCAAGCUGCUGACAUAUAUUUUCCCAUUUUACUUCAAUAUUUGAGUGUUUAUGUACAAUGUACAAAUUAGUACAUUUAGAAUUUAACUCCUGGUUUUUCUCUUAUUCAAUAAAUAAACAAACAAACAAACCAUUCCACCAUAUGUGCUUCUCUCUAAUUUUUCUCCAAUCCUAGUAAAUGUCACUUCCAUGCAUCUAUUUCUGAAAACUGGUUAUCUGCCAGUCUCCAAUUUCCCUCUCCACACUAAUCAUUUCACCAUCAAAUAUAUCACAAAUUCAUCUAAUUAUUUUCCUCCCAAGAGGCCUUCUCUAACUACAAUACCUAAAAUACACAGUCAUUCUUUAUUCUCUAACACUCAGUCAUACUGUAUUUCAAUUCCCUAUUUAAUCUUCUUCAUAGAACUUAAAAUAGGUGCAAUUAUACUAUCUAGCUGUUUACUUAUUUAUAUGUUUGUUAUCUGUCUGUGCCUAACACAAUAUAAUUUUCCUAAGGACAAGUAUUCUCUUGUUCUUGCUAAUCAUGUUAUUAUAAAGACAAGAAGAGUAACUUGCAUUUUUGUAGAUGACUUAUAAAACACUAAAUAAAAUGAAUAAACUUGCACUGUCAUUACCUAUGACAUCACCUACAGAUCACUUUAGUAACCUUUUAAUUGAUGUCCUUGCUUUCACGUUGUCUUCCUUCAAAUAACCAUUUAUAGCUUCACUAUCCACUUCCAGGGCUUCCCAACAGUUUCUUUUUAAUUAUUUCAAAUAUUACCUUAAAAUUUAUUUUUCUCAAAGACAUACCAAGAAGAAAAUUCUUCAUGGGCUAAGAAGAAAAUUAUAUAGUAUAUAUGCUAGCAAUAUUCAAUUUAGACAACUGUCAAAGUGCCUAAGCAUGAUUUAAAAGAUGGUGCAGGAUUUAUCCUUUUCAACUUUAAGGUUUCAACUUAAAUAUUUUUCUAAGAAGGUCAUUAAAACCAUCAAUCCACCCGCAACCAAACAGUGCUUGUCAUGCACUCUAGUGUCCAGCACAGAGUGUGGCACAUAGUAGGUACUCAACAAAUAAUGGAUGAAUAUAUUCAUUGAUCAAGGAACUAAUAAAAUCAUAUUAAAUAAACAGGUAUAUGAAGAAUAAAUCAAAACUGCAGAUAUGAUGCAAUAGCUUCUUUCCCCCUAAAAAUGGUAUUAAAUGAUUAGUACCUUGUAGUAUAAUUUUCAAUUUAGGAAAUACUAGAUGAUUUAAUUAAUGUACUUUUAAAUCCCUGGGAUCUGAAAAAGAGAAAAUAUAUACUAUAAGGCAAUUAAUGCAGAGUUUAAUGCAUGCAUCUUGAAGCAAUGUUUUAUUAUUUCCUAUAUAUGUAACAAAAAAGCUAUAGGAAUAGAUAUCAAAGAGACUUCAUGCUUAAACAAAAUUGAAUGUGUUUUUAAGAAAGCUCUGAUUCUAUGUUUAAAUAACUCCUUGCAAUUACUGACCUUCUGCUAUAGUUAGAUUAUUUCAGAUUGUUUUCUCACAUUAAAUUAAUUUUCAUUACCAUUCCUACUGCCUUGCUAAUUAAAAAUCUAACUAUUAAUGAAAGUUGUACAAAAAGCCAUAAAAAUUAAAAAUUUUCUAUAUAACAAUUUAUUUUAUUCUUCCCACACUUUAUUCCAUUUUAAGACAUUUCAUGUGCUUAGAGUUCAUAAUUUUUUUUAUAAUUACAAAUUUUUAAAGUGUAGUAUAUUCUCUCACCCAUUCAAUGAUUACUUGUUAAGUAUUUAAUUGUGUAUCUGGCAUAAUACACAUGAGGGUCAGGCACAGACACUGUCUCUGGUAUCAUGGUUAUUAUAGGUCAAUGUGGAGACCUCCACUAUGUAAAUAAUACAAAUAAUUCUAUAAAUUGUAAUUAAGUGGUAGGCAGAAAAACUACAGGUUGCAAUUAACGAGUAGAAGGUGGCAAUUUAACCAAGUCUGCAGGCUCAGAUAAGUCUUCCAUUAAAUAGUAUAUAAUCCAAGGCCCAGAAAAUAACACUGCAUUAGCUAGGAGGGGAAAACAGGAAUGAAUAUGCAGAUUAUGUCCCAUAAAGAAGGAAAGUCUGGGAGAAAAUAGACUGUGCUUCUUAAGUAAGGCAUUUCCUAUGAAUGCUCAGAUUCCUUCAAGUCUUAGUAUCUUAAAAAGCUUUUUAAAGGUAAUUGGUUAUUUACUAUUUAUUGUUUCAUUAGUAAAGAUGUUGCUUCCAUGUGUCUCUGUAUAGUACAUGUUUGAGACGACAGCUGUUAUAUUAAAUCAUGCUGUCUUAUUUGAUACAAGCGUUUCAUAAGGUUCUCAUUUUUAUUUCUAAAGAUGACUUUUUAAAAUUAUGGUUUUAUUUCCAACAUUUUUUUUUUUGACAG
rnacentral:lncRNA from 1 species